rnacentral:rRNA from 1 species
GUGCGAAAACUUUACAAUGCUGGCAACAGCGAUAAGGGAACCUCGAGUGCCAGGUUACAAAUCUGGCUGUCGAGAUGCCUAAAAAGCAUUUCAUAGCAAGGGCCGGGCAAGACCGGUGCCAGCCGCCGCGGUAACACCGGCGGCUCGAGUGGUAACCGUUAUUAUUGGGUCUAAAGGGUCUGUAGCCGGCCGGAUAAGUCUCUUGAGAAAUCUGGCAGCUUAACUGUCAGGCUUUCAGGAGAUACUGUCUGGCUCGAGGCCGGGGGAGGUGAGAGGUACUUCAGGGGUAGGGGUGAAAUCUUGUAAUCCUUGAAGGACCACCAGUGGCGAAGGCGUCUCACCAGAACGGACCUGACGGCAAGGGACGAAAGCUAGGGGCACGAACC